rnacentral:lncRNA from 1 species
AGGCCUGGUGCGUAAGUCUACCCCACACAGUCCUUUGCGAUUUUCCUCUCCCACUUUGGGAGCCAGUGGAUGAAGAGGGUGGAACCAUAGAAUAGAAGGAACCCAGAUACAGAUCACUGUUCAGAGGAGAGCUGCCUGCCAGUCAGGAAGACCCAUUUUGGACUUUAUAAAUGCUCUGACCUUAAAAGGAAUAUUGGAGGCAGGAGGAAACAGAGGAAGCAAGAAGAAUUUCCUGGAAGGUAAUUAUUGUAAUAUAAGCAUACUUCGGAGAUAUUGCAGGUUCCGUUCCAGACCACUGCAACAGUGAAUAUCUCAAUCAACAUCUUCACCAGGAGUAGAUUUUAUCUUAAGAAGCCACUUUCUUUGCUCAUCCAGAAGCUACAACUCCUCAUCAUGAGAUUUCAGCAGUUCAGUUCCAUCUUCAGGCCCUAUUUUUAGUUCUCUUUAGUUCUCUUGCUAUUUCCACGACAUCUGCAAUGACUUCCUCAACUGAAGUCUUGAACCCCUCAAAGUAAUCCAUGAAGGAAGAUGACCACGGCCCCUCUGUUCCCUCGCCUGUGUGCCAAAUGGAUCCACAGCUAGAGACAAGCUCCUUCCCUUUGAACGGUGGGAAGCAGGCCAAGAUGUUUUAAAGACAGAUGGCAUCAGAUGCAGAGAAGCAAGCUGGAACUCGGAGCACAGCUGCCUUAUUUACUUACCUACUGGCUGCAUUUCUGAGAACCAGUUUUAUUCCUGUUCAAAGGAAGCCAGGCAGAGUUGGGAAAAUAUUUUCCUAGCCAGCUCCUUAGCACCACUGUCUGAGGGAAACCAUCUGGCCAAGAUGCCCUUCAAGUGUGGAAAUUGAGGCAGAGAGAAGUUUAGUGACUUGUCCAAGGUCACACAGUUCAUGAGUGAUGGAACCAGGACUUGGAUUCUUUUUGAGCUUUGUCCAUAUUUCAAUGUAUAGCUUUAGUUUAUUCUUUUAUAUUGCUGUACAGUAUAAUAUUGUAUGAAUAUACCUCAAUGUAAUUAUAUUCUUAUU